rfam:Gossypium raimondii Chr11_contig_254, whole genome shotgun sequence.
UCCGCUGUAGCACAAUGGUUAAAAUUCUGUUGAGAAAUUUCCGGGUUCGAAUCCCGGCAGCGGAA